rnacentral:lncRNA from 1 species
CAUCUCAUUUAAGUUUCAAAACAAUCCAGUGUUAAAAAUCACUUUGCUGAAGUGCAAAUUCAUGUCUGUUAUGCGAAUAGAAACGCAGUUCAUGAUGUUAUUCAGCCUAUUAAUUUAUGAGGGCGAGGGACCAAGUAAGAUGUCAAAAUCAGCCCAAAUCUGAGAUUAUCUUUGUGUGUGUAUGUGUGUGUGUGUGUGUUGUUUAUGCGAUAUGAUAGAUUGUUGGGCCUGAUACAGAACAGGAUAAUGUCCUGCUGGACCAGAGAGCUCACACAAGUUACUCUGCCAUCAUUUGUAAUAAAAUAGCCCUGUAAACACAAAGUCAUACCCAGCCUUGGGAACACUAGGCUGAGGGAAUCCAGUAAUCUCACUUGCCUGCUUCCAAUUUUAAAAGGCUUCCUCUGAUGCCUGUAAAGGAGGUAGUGCUCUCAUCUACACAUUACACAUGAAGAAACUGAGGCUUUGGGAAGUUAGGUAACUUGCCCAAGGUUAUUUAAGAGAUGGAGCGGAGACUGACUUGUAUCUGGCUCCUUACACAACUGGCACUGCAGUGGAUAGCAUGAGCUCAAUAAGCAAAUGAGUUAGGCUUCAACUCCCAGUGACCUCGGACCAGAUAACGACUAUAAUUUUAUUUUUUUUCAUCUCCAAAGUAGAGUUGCUAAUAGUUUUUAACUCACAGUGGUAUUGUGAGGAUAUAGUGAGGUGAUGCAUUAAAGCCCCAUGCAUAGUGUGACUGACCUUGCAGUCCCUGUGUAAAUUGCUGGCCCCUGUUGUUAUUAUCGGUGGUGGUCAUCGUGAUUGUGCACCACCUGCAUGUGCCUUGAAAAUAGCGGUGUCCUCACCUUCUCUACCUUGAUUAGCUGUGGUUACCUUAAGAGUCUGGGCACAUUCAGAGUAUGAACUCCAGGAAUCACCAUUACAGAAAAGCAACUCUCUGUCACAAAUUUUGUCCAGGAUCAUGACCAUCUUCAGGUGACCCCAGGAAGAGAUAGGUGCUGUCAAACUUAGGAAAGCAUGUGGCUUAUAAAAAUAACUGCUUCUGCUAUUUUAUAACCUGUAAGACUUUAGUGAUGCAUGGAUCCAUGAUACUUGCAGUAGGUAUCAUUUAAAAAAUGUUCUCAAAAGUAAGUAAGUGUCAUACAACACCUGGUACAGUAGAUUUUUCUUGGUGGCAAAAAUCCAAGCACGAUAUUCAGUCCUUCCUUCCUGAAGCUUGCAUUCUCCUGUAUCAGUGACAAUGGAGUUGACAUGUUUAGGUCUUGUAUUGAAUAUCAUCUCUCUGUCUUGCCCUGAGCAGAUGAAGUGCUGGAGACUUCCCUAUCAAUCUUGCCUUUUGGACUUGGGGAGUGCCGAACAACAGAAAUCAAAGGGCAAAUGUCAAAAUGGGGUCUUCUUGCUGAAUUUACUAGCUUUUUAAAACCUAAGACUUCUCUGUAGAUGUUAAGGAAGUUACAAUUUCUGAGGAGAUAGUUUACUGGAAACGCAGUUCUGUACUGGCUCAUCUCUGAGAUGAGAACUUACUGAAGUCAGCAUAUCUGCAUCUAGUUACUCAGGUAUAUCAGAAAUUUCUCUUCAUGCUCUCACCUUUGUUCUGUGGGUUAGAAGGAAGUACUCAUUCAUGCCACAGGAGGACAUGUUUCUUGAUUUGGAAUUUUUUAAGAACAAUAAAAUGACUAGAUCUGUCUACACAGAAUUCACGUGUGAGAUUUUUGCCUAAUCACAAAAGAAAGGCAGCAUGUCAGUCUCGUUAUUGUGAUGAAGGCAAAUACUCAUGAUUAAUUCUUUAUGAUUUCUUGUUAUUAUUGAUAAUACAAACAAUAUGCCUGCACGAUUUGAGAGCUGACAACCACCAAGUAUAUUUUUAAACAUGCCAAGUGUGUUUAGUACUCCUCCUACAUAUUUCCUUAAAUUUGUAAAAUUGUGAAACAUUUGUUUUUUGUUGUAUAUUUAGAAUUAUUGACUUAUAAACUAUCUCACCAUGCUGUGAAUGGUUCAAAGACACUCAGUUUAAUUUUGCACAUCCAUUGUUGUGAGGAAUUGUUAUGAAGAUGUACUAUCCAAGGGUUGAAGAGUUGUUCCUAAUGGAAAUAGAGUGGAUGAAGAAGAAAAGGAACUAGGUAACCUCUCAGUCUAGAGAUACUGAACAGGCUUGCAAAUGAUAGCUUAGUAACUCAUAUCAGGAUUUCCCUAAAUCUAUUUUUACAGUUUCUGUCUUUCAUGGAAAGGCUACAGACAGGGUUAAGUAUUUUGUCUCAAACUUCUAUUCCACAUGGCCUUGACACCCUCAGAGCAAAUAUAUUUCCUAUUUUACUCUUAAUUUUCUCACCCCGAAUGAGACUUAAGUCAUCAGUGAAAUUUUACAGGAUGUAUUGACUUAGGGGAGAUAUUUUUGUCUAAUUUUAACUCCUUUAGAAGCUCAGUAGAUAUAAAUAUCCUUCAGUGUAGUUUGACAAAUACUGCGUACUGUAGUUCAAAUCAAAAGUCAAAGUCAAGGAGAGAACGAGGAGUUAGUGAAAUUCUCCUCAACAUUUAUGUCCAUUCUGCUUCAUAACAGUGACAUGUCCCAAACUUUUCAUUUUAAAAACUACUUACAAAGACAUACUACAUCACUAAGUGCAGUUUCCUUUAGAAACUAGUGGAAUUAUGUUUUAAUUUUACAGUCAUUAACUGACUGAAUAUGAUUUUUCCAAAAUACAGUUUUUUAAAAUUAGCCUUCGUGACCUUUAAAAACAUUGUGAAUUAAGGUAGAACAUAAGUAAUGCAGUCUCAUUAACUUUAAUAAAGUUCAAUAAAAAGCCUACAUUUAAAAAACUGUCUUCAUAAAACACUGUGUUAUAGCUAAAGCAUUAAGUAGAACAUCUCAGUUUAAAAUUAUUAAAAAUUAUUAAGUAUCUAUUUAGAAUGAGAUUUAUUUUAUGAUUGCAAACACCUCCAAAACAAAUCGACAGUCAAUUGCCAUGCAUUUUGAGAUGUAAAAGCACCAUUAAUUACUGUUAAUGGUACUUCUCUAAUGUAUGUAAAUAUAUCAUCGGCACCAGAGCUCUUGGCAGUUACUUCUUACUUCUUUCUAGACAGUUUAAAGAUCUUAAUUUAUUAAUAUUCACAACAAGCAGAAAGAUAAACACAUUGUUUUGAAGCUCUUGAUGAAUGGCAAUUGGAGACAUACUGUGCUUGGGCUGAGAGGAGAUAUUAGCUUGUUGGCAAUAACUCAUGGCCCUACAUGAAACAGAGCCUGGAAGAGAGACCAAGAGUUUAAAAUGAUGUUAUUAAGAGUCUCUGGAAGCACUUUAUUUGAAGGUACCUGAGAUUUAAAAAUUGUAUUAGUCUCACUCUACACCUAUUUCAUUAUGUGUCCCCGGAAUGUUAAACUCAGGGCAGGCUCCUGCCACAGUAAGCAUUAUUUUUGAUUCACUUUACUGAAUGUGAUUGACAAGGACAUUUUCAGGAAUUCAUUGGGAGAGCAGUGUUUCCUAUUUAUUAUAUCCUUUCAUCUCUGCCUGAGCUAGAAUAUUCAUGCUGCUGUUUUAACUGGCUUCAUGUUGUAAAAGUCCUAAGAAGAAAAGGAGUUCCCGUCGUGGCUCAGUGGUAACAAACCUGACUAGCCAGGGAUCGAACCUGCAACCUCAUGGUUCCUAGUCAGAUUUGUUAACCACUGAGCCACAAUGGGAACUCCCAUAACGACUUUAAAUACGUUCAGUCAAUAGAAAUAUUAUCUAAGAGUCAGCAUUUUUUUUCUUUUGUAAGAUCACCCCUAGUUUUUAAUGGAUAAGACCUAGAUUUAAAAUUUAAUACAUUGGUUUUACCAAUUUACAUUCCUCAUACACUAUGGAAUACUGCUCAGCCAUAAAAAAGGACAAAAUAAUGCCAUUUGCAGCAACAUGGAUGGAGUUAGAGACUCUCAUACUAAGUCAGAAAGACAAAUACCAUAUGAUAUCACUUGUAUCUGGAAUCUAUUACACAGCAUAAAUGAAACUUUCCACAGAAAAGAAUCUCAUGGACUUGGAGAACAGAACUGUGGUUGCCAAGGGGUGGGGGAGGGAGUGGGAAUUGACCUGGAACCUGGGGUUAAUAGAUGCAAACUAUGGCAUUUGGAGUGGAUAAGCAAUGAGAUCCUGGUGUAUAGCACAAGGAACUAUAUAUAGUCACUUAUGAUGGAAUGUGAUGGAGGAUAAUGUGAGAAAAAAAAUGUGUGUAUAUAUAUAUAUAUUACUGGGUCACUUUGCUGUACAGUAGAAAUUGACAGAACUCUGUAAACAA